AACGAACGCUGGCGGCAUGCCUAACACAUGCAAGUCGAACGAGACCUUCGGGCCUAGGGGCGCACGGGUGCGUAACGCGUGGGAACUUGCCUUUUUGUUCGGAAUAACUCCCCGAAAGGCGUCCUAAUUCCGGCUCAUGUCUUCGGCCCAAAGAUUUAUCGCCUUUGGAUGGGCCCCCGUUGGAUUAGGUCGGUGGUAGGGUAAAAGCCUACCAAGGCGAAGUGCCAUAGCUGUUGGGAGAGGAUGAUCAGCAACACUGGGACUGAGACACGGCCCAGACUCCUACGGGAGGCAGCAGUGGGGAAUAUUGGACAAGGGGCGAAAGCAUGAUCCAGCAGUGCCGCGUGAGUGAUGAAGGCCGUAGGGUUGUAAAGCUGUUUUACCCGCGAUGAUAAUGACAGUACCGGGAGAAUAAGCGCCGGCUAACUCCGUG
rnacentral:rRNA from 1 species